rnacentral:rRNA from 1 species
AACGAACGCUGGCGGCAUGCCUAACACAUGCAAGUCGAACGAGAUCUUCGGGUCCAGGGGCGCACGGGUGCGUAAAGCGUGGGAAUCUGCCCUUUGGUUCGGAAUAACAGUUGGAAACGACUGCUAAUACCGGCUGAUGACGCACGUCCAAAGAUUUAUGGCCAGAGGAGGAGCCCGCGUAGGAUCAGCUAGUGGGUGUGGUAAAGGCGCACCAGGGCGACGACCCUUAGCUGGUCUGAGAGGAUGAGCAGCGACACUGGGACGGAGACACGGCCCAGACUCCUACGGGAGGCAGCAGUGGGGAAUAUUGGACAAUGGGCGAAAGCCUGAUCCAGCAAUGCCGCGUGUGUGAUGAAGGCCUUAGGGUUGUAAAGCUCUUUUACCCGGGAUGAUAAUGACAGUACCGGGAGAAUAAGCUCCGGCUAACUCCGUGCCAGCCGCCGCCGUAACAC